UACGUAGGGUGCAAGCGUUAAUCGGAAUUACUGGGCGUAAAGCGUGCGCAGGCGGUUAUGUAAGAGAGAGGUGAAAUCCCCGGGCUCAACCUGGGAACUGCCUUGGUGACUGCAUAGCUAGAGUACGGCAGAGGGGGAUGGAAUUCCGCGUGUAGCAGUGAAAUGCGUAGAUAUGCGGAGGAACACCGAUGGCGAAGGCAAUCCCCUGGACCUGUACUGACGCUGAUGCACGAAAGCGUGGGGAGCAAACAGG
rnacentral:rRNA from 1 species